rnacentral:lncRNA from 1 species
UAUUUAUGUUCUUCAAAAUAUAUUUUUCCUUGCAAAAUUUAUUAUAAUUCAUAUUUAAACAUUUGUCAUCAACGAUUUAAAAAUAUUUGAAUUUAAUAGUGGUUACUCAAAUAAAUAAAUAAAUAAAUUGGAAUAGGGAAAAGAUUGGUACCAUGCUAUCGAUCCUUGCCCAACCGUACAUAAAUCACCGUUCAAUCUAUUUAUUUUCACCUUCGCCUCACCGUGAAGUUUUGAAAAUUAAGAUAAGACUUUCCUUUGAGAUUUUUGAGGGUGGAACCCCAUUUGACAAUGUUUUGGGCCUCACUAUUAUAUUUUUCACUUAUUUUUUAGUUUUCGGCAUAAAUAAUCUGCUAAAUAUACAUUUAUUACUCAAUAAAUCGUAAAUAUGCUUCCAGAUGCCUUAUAAAGUUUUCCUUAAUGCUCACAAAAAAAUAUUUUUCAAAAAUAAAAUAUUUGCAUUUUUGACAAAAAAAACGUGGAUUAACACUCACGAUUUUUAGUCGGUUUUGUAAAUUCAUAUAUAUAUAUCAUCGUUCAAUCUACUUAUUCACCUUCGCUUCACCGUAAAGUUUUGAAAAUUAAUGUAAGACUUUCCGUUGGUAUUCUUGAGGGUGAAACCGCUUUUUUAUAAUGUUUUGGGCCUCCCUACUAUAUUUUUUACUUACUUUCUUAGUGUUCGGUUUAAAUGUUCUACUAAAUAUACAUUUGUUAAGUUUUAAAAAUUAGUGUAAGACUUUUCGUUGAUAUUCUUGAGGAUGGAACCCCAUUUAGAGCCUAGUGCAAGAGUCCAAGUUCCAUAUCAACUUGGGCCGCCACAUAAAAGAAAUCAAGUGAUUGGGUUAUCACAAAAUUAGUUGGCCCAAUUGGAGUAAAAGCAACAUACAAAAUGCCAACUCUCUCUUUGCACAUCGAGAGUACACUCUGUAGCGUGUUAAGUCCGGUGAGAUAGAAAAAAGAAAGAAAUAUAUAGUCCGUUAGACCAUUUUCAAAGAAAAUAUCAAAUUUUAAAUAUGUUCCCUUGCAUCUAAGUUGGAGUCUCGUUUCUGUAGUGAAGUUGUUUAGAAUAUUGUCAUGUUAGGCAGAAAGAUUAAUCAAAUUUUCGGUGCUUGAUGAAAAUGACACACAGGAAUGUCCUGAAGGCCACCAUUGAUGUUCCUGAAGCAGGAGAAGCCAACUUUCAUUGCACCCACCUCGAUCAUCUUGAUGAGAGUUGGAGGAUGAGGCAGAUUAAUGCUAUAAUCCAAUCAAGCAAUGAGCCCCACAUCUUGGCUGGAGACCUCAAUUCUUUGGAUGAGUCAGACUACUCUCAAGAAAGAUGGACUGAUAUUGUAAAGGUGAGACAUGAUGACACUUCCAAAUUAUCAGAAAUUAUCUGUACAAGACCUCCGGUUUUUACCAAAAGGACCGAUUUUGUACGGAUAACACAUCUAUGCAUUUUGUUAUUAACAUGUAAUCUAUCAAUGUUUUCAACAGUUCAUCAUUUAGUAAGUAAAUAAAAAGAACGUCAUGUUCAGAGAAGAACUGUACAAAUUAUGUACCUAACAAUGCUUUGAUUUGUUUUGGCUGCAGUAUUAUGAGGAUAUGGGUAAACCAAGGCCUAAGGUUGAAGUAAUGAGAUACUUGAAGAGCAAGCAGUACACAGAUGCAAAGGACUUUGAAGGAGAAUAUGAGUCAGUAGUUAUGAUUGCCAAAGGCCAAAGUAAACCAACCCGAAACCCUAAUGUUAACUUGUUACCUGGUUUGAGCUUGAGCGCUAUUGUUUUUCUAAAUGCAUAAUUUUGUACCUUAACGCAGGUGUGCAGGGAACAUGCAAGUACGGAACGAGAGUAGAUUAUAUAUUAGCAUCUGCAAACUCACCUUACAAAUUUGUUCCUGGAUCAUACUCAGUGUUUUCUUCCAAGGGGACAUCAGAUCAUCAUAUAGUAAGAGUUGAUGUUGUUAAAGUGGAUAAUUGUGGUGAAGAAAAUAACAGCAGAAGAAGGCAGCUGAAGCAAAAAGUUACCAAGAUAACAAACCCUACUUCCCAGUCAAAAGGAAUAUGGAAAAUCCCACAUAUAUGAAAAGAACGUGCUAUCUACACACCUUUUUUUACCUUUCAUACAAUCUUCUCAAUUUCCGAUCAUCAGGUCGAAUGAAAUGAAGAAUAUCAAAUGAUAGAAAUUAACUUAAAAUGUGUAAAAGAUAAGCGAGGUGUGCAUAUAGCACAACCCAUAUGAAAAAAAACAUAUAGAUUAAUAAUUGACUUUUACUUUUACAGUUUAGAUUUAGGGUUUGGUUUGUUGAAGGAAGGGCAGGUUCUGGCUUGGGAUCUGCAUUUAUCUCCUACAGUUAGUAAAAUAUUUUCAGUCUACAUGGGUUGUUAGGGAUACAACAAGUCAAAGGAAGAGGUGGAAUUUGGUGUGGUUGGUUAGCAAUUUUUUACUUCUUCAAAUUGUACAGCAGAGUGAAAAAGUUACAUAUUUUGAUAGUGAUUUCUUUGUUCUUCGCUUUCUUUUUAUUUGCUUCUCAUUUUGUUACCCCCAACAAUGAAUUUUGAAACGUGAAUCCACCCUCUUAAUUUAGCUUCUGCCACUCUAUCGAUAUGAAGUGUCACAAGUUAAAUCAGGGACGGACAAUGAUUUUAAAAUGAGCUGAGAUAGUUUAUACUUGAUGUAGAAAACUAUAAGAGAACUCGAUGGACCAUGAUUUUAAAAUGAGUUGAGAUUGGUGCCGGGGGUUGGCACUUAUAGGCCGCUAUCAAUAUGGGAUGGAGUUUAGUUUUAAUCUCAGGAGUCAAUCAUGGUUGGCCGAACGAAGCAUUGUUACUGGGGGUGGGACAUUUGUAAUCCGCUAUCAACCCUGACAUAAUUUAUACUAAAAUCAUCACUUUUAAUGUAGUAACCCCCUUUAAGAAAAAUAAAAAAUUUCUCCGUGAGUGCACCGGGUGCUAAAGCGUGCCGAACUUAGGGUGUUAUUUUUCGGUAGGCUACUAUUCACCCGUUACUAUUCCUGUGCUACUAUUCAUACGCUCCUAAACCCUAAACUAUCAAUUUUAUUUUAUUUUAUUUUUUUGUUAAUUUUUUUUCCCUUACCAUAACCAAACUAUCACUUCAUGUUCUACAAAACGUAUUGGCGGUAAAAAAAACAUUCUUAUAAUCCAUGUCAAAACACACUCGAAAACAAGGAUAUAAAUAUGAAUCUAUAUAAAGUAAGGUAGGAAGGAAAAAAAAAAUUCAAUGGAAAAAGAAAAAAGCGGAAAAUAAAUAAAUAAAAUAGAAAAUGAUACGAUCGGUAAUAUCUACCGAUUGUCCACAAUAAUGUUCACUAUAAUAGUAGCGACAGACCUGCAUAUUAGUCGCUAUCAUCAGACCGAUCCUCCCUUUUCAAUUUUUUUUCUUUUUUAGUUUUUUAUUAUUUAUUUUUAAAAAACUUUCUUUUAUUUCUCUUACCAUAGCAACAAACCAUCAUAUUUAUGUUCUUCAAAAUAUAUUUUUCCGUGCAAAAUUUAUUAUAAUUCAUAUUUAAACAUUUGUCAUCAACGAUUUAAAAAUAUUUGAAUUUAAUAGUGGUUACUCAAAUAAAUAAAUUGGAAUAGGAAAAGAUUGGGACCAUGCUAUCGAUCCUUGCCCAACCGUACAUAAAUCACCAUUCAAUCUAUUUAUUUUCACCUUCGCCUCACCGUGAAGUUUUGAAAAUUAAGAUAAGACUUUCCUUUGAGAUUUUUGUGGGUGGAACCCCAUUUGACAAUGUUUUGGGCCUCACUAUUAUAUUUUUCACUUAUUUUUUAGUUUUCGGCUUAAAUAAUCUGCUAAAUAUACAUUUAUUACUCAAUAAAUCAUAAAUAUGCUUCCAGAUGCCUUAUAAAGUUUUCCUUAAUGCUCACAAAAAAAAUAUUUUUCAAAAAUAAAAAUAUUUGCAUUUUUUGACCAAAAAAACGUGGAUUAACACUCACGAUUUUUAGUCGAUUUUGUAAAUUCAUAUAUAUAUAUAUAUAUAUCAUCGUUCAAUCUAUUUAUUCACCUUUGAUUCACCGUAAAGUUUUGAAAAUUAAUGUAAGACUUUCCGUUGGUAUUCUUGAGGGUGAAACCGCUUUUUUAUAAUGUUUUGGGCCUCCCUACUAUAUUUUUUACUUACUUUCUUAGUGUUCGGUUUAAAUGUUCUACUAAAUAUACAUUUGUUAAGUUUUGAAAAUUAGUAUAAGACUUUCCGUUGAUAUUCUUGAGGGUGGAACCCCAUUUAGAGCCUAGUGCAAGAGUCCAAAGUUCCAUAUCAACUUGGGCCGCCACAUAAAGGAAAUCAAGUGAUUGGGUUAUCACAAAAUUAGUUGGCCCAAUUGGAGUAAAAGCAACAUACAAAAUGCCAACCGUCUCUUUGCACAUCGAGAGUACACUCUUUAGUCUGUAUCUUUCUUCACACGUGUUAAGUCAGGUGACAUGAGAGAUAGAAUCCUUGGUAUCGUUUGGUACAUGGAACUGGACAGAACGGAAUGGAACAAGGCGUUCUGUCUCGUGUUUGGUGUACCUAAAAUAGGUGGAACAUGCUAUUCCACGGAAUGAAUUUUAGGUGAAUUUUCGUUCCGCCUCACUCCCCUAGAACAACUCGUUCUACAUCUGUGGAACACAAAAUUAUAACAUCUCCAUCUCCUUCUUCUUCCUCCUUGUUUCCAACCGAGGACAUCUUUCCUCCAUCUCCGUUCCGUUCCGUCCGGUUCUGUUCCAUCCCGUCUUGUUUCCAUACCAAACGAUACAUUUAGUCUGUAUCUUUCUUCACACGUGUUAAGUCAGG